rnacentral:sRNA from 10 species
CAUGAAGGACUCAAAGUGGAAAAGGAAAACGGAAGUGCAAAGAUAAGGUUACAGUACUGUGGUGGCAUGCCGAAGUAAAUAACGAGCGAUCGGUCAGUGAAAAUAGUUAUAGACACCUCCGAUCAAAUAGCGGUGUAAUAUCCCGCUAUAGUAAGGUUUUCUGAGUUAAAGGCGAUUGGAUCCUAGGAUGAGGUGCUCCUCCUUAUACAUUGCUCUGUAGGUUAACGUGCCACUAAGUGUUAUCAAUCGUGCCUAGAGUCACUCCGCUAACGGUCGAGGUCUAAUUAUGUGUAUAUGGAUAUUUGAUGUGAAACAUUAAGGUUCAUUUGUUAUUCUAUAUAUGUAUAUAAUGGUUAAUGA